AGCGAACGCUGGCGGCAUGCCUAACACAUGCAAGUCGAACGAGAGCUUCGGGUCUAGUGGCGCACGGGUGCGUAACGCGUGGGAAGGUGCCCUAAGGUUCGGGAUAAUACUCCUAAAGGGGUGAUAACACCGGGAAAUGUAUUCGGAUCAAAGAUUGUUCGUCUUUGGGUGGGCCGGGGUUGGAUUAGCUUGUUGGUAGGGUAAAAGCCUAUCACGGCGACGAUCCAUAGCUGGUCUCAGAGGAUGAUCAGCCACACUGGCUCUGAGCCACGGGACGGACUCCUACGGAAGGCAGCAGUGCGGAAUAUUGGCCAAUGGGCGAAAUCCUGAUCCAGCUAUGCCGCUUGAGUGCUGAAGGCCUUAGAGUUGUAAAGCUCUUUUGCCCGGGAUGAUAAUGACAGUACCGGGAGAAUAAGCUCCGGCUAACUCCGUG
rnacentral:rRNA from 1 species